GCAGAAGAGACAUUCAUCAUCAUUACUGAAGACGGUGGUGUUAAAACUUGCAGCAAAUUUCUCAUCCCAUCACUUCACAUGAAGUGUAGACAAUGAAAUUGUGAGAAUCACAAUGAGAUUGUGAUUCACAACAAUGAAUAAUGAAUUCACUAUAUACUAGGGCUGUAGUCAAGUCCACUGUUGUCGAGUCCAAGACAAGUCCAAGUCCAAAGAGGUUCGAGUCCAAGUCAAGACCGAGUCCAAUUGAGACAGUCAAGACAGAGACAGAAAAAAAAUCAUGACUUCGAGAGUAGUGAACACACGUACCCCCGGAGCAGUGGGCAGCUAUCACUGCAGCGCCCGGGGAGCAAGUAGGGGUAAGGUGCCUUGCUCAAGGGCACCUCAGUUGUUACCUGCCUGCCCUGGGUAUCGAACCGGCAACCUUCUGGUCACGAGUCCGACUCUCUAACCAUCAGGUCAAUGACAAUAAAAAUAUGAUCAAUCUAAUCUUGAAGCCCUACUUUCUAAACUCAUAACUACUUUCUAAAAAUACUUAAAUGCAAUGCUAACUCUGAAACAUGGCAUUAACUUACCUCUCUUUGUGAUGCCUUUGCAGGUUUCUUACAAAAUUGGAUGUUGUCCCACACGUUUCAGAGAAAGUUUUGUUGCAAAAAGUUUCCUUUUAAGCGCACUGUCGAUAAAUUCUUUAUGGUUUGUAAAACCAAAUGUUAUUAUGCCGCUUCUCGCUGACAUCCUGCCUGAUGAAUGAUUGAUGCUGUUCAGUUCGCACCGCGGACGAAUUGUUCAUUUGAACCGGUUCAUUCUUUUAAGUGAACCGGUCAAACCAGUUCAUCUGAAUUGUUCGCGUUUAGCGUCUCCCGUAAACACUUAAUAUUACUCACAAAUUAAUUCAGUUAUUCACUUUCUGGCGUGCAUGACAGUCCCGCGGACUUGAACCAAUAUACCGGAGUUAUUUAAUUACAACAACAGCACACACUGAACUGAACUGCUGUGUGAAGAGAGAACUUAUGAACACGCGAGGCUCUCGUUCUUGAGUCGAGAGUCGGCAACAGUUUUCGGAUCACAAGAAGCAUGCUCUAUCAAUGUUUUGUUUUGAAGGAGAAAAAUAUAUAUAUAUCUGGACUUGGUUGAGACCAAUGACUAAGUCCGAGACAAGUCCGAGUGCAAAUACCAACGAGUCCAAGACAAGUCCGAGAUCAUAAAAAAACAUCUCGAGUCUGGACUCGAGUACUACAGCACUACUGUAUACUGUACAGUGAGGGAAAUAAGUAUUUGAUCCCCUGCUGAUUUUGUAAGUUUGCCUACUUACAAACAAAUGAAGGGUCUAUAAUUUUUAUGGUGGGUUUAUUUUAACUGAUAGACACAGAAUAUUAAAAAAAAUCAGGGGAAAAAAAUGUUAUAUAAAGGUUAUAAAUUGAUUUGCAUUUCAGUCAGUGAAAUAAGUAUUUGAUCCCCUACCAACUAGCAAGAAUUCUGGCUCCACAGAUUGGUUAUGUGCCUAUAUGGACCACAGAUUAGUCCUGUCACUUUAAGAAAGUACUCCUAAAUCAGCUUGUUAUGUAUAUAAAAGAUGCCUGCCAACAGAAUCUGUAUCUUCCAGUUCAACCUCUCCAACACCAUGGUCCAGACCAAAUAGGUUUUAAAGGAUGUCAGCGACAAGAUUGGAGACCUGCACAAACCUUCAAUAGGCUACAGACAGAAGCUUGAAGUGAAUUGGUGUUGAAUGAUGUCGUGUGUAGAAGAUCUCCUCAUGAACUCACUGAACGAGCUGCUCAAAGAUGAAUGGAGUCGCUUUCUGUGGCAUCUGAAGAAACACGGUUUUUCAGCUUCUGAACUGGAGAACGCAAGUGUCUUAAGUACAGUAGAUAAGAUGAUGGAUCGUUAUAAAAAAGAUGGAGCCGUGGAGUGCACGCUGACCAUCCUGAGGAAGAUGAACAAGAACAAUCAGGCUGAACUGCUGGAGGAUAAAGUGAAGUCGUCCACUCAACUUUGAAAAUGUUGAUUGGAAAUGAAGUGAUUGUGUCAUGUCAAUAAAUACACAUUCUCUGAUAUUGCUCAUUGCCUUACUUCAUUGUGUUCACUGAUCUGCCAAAGUUAAGUUUUGUGUCUGGGCAUCAGAGACUGUAAGUAAAAAAAUCCCACCCAUCACUCAAGUGCAUCAGCAGCCAUCUGUCAGACAUAACUUCCUUUAUGUUUGUGGGAUCAAAAAACCACAGAGUUCAGUUUCAUUUCUGUUGAUGAAAUGUCCAGAUCUUCCAUCUAAAAUUCUCCUACAGGGGGCGCUGCAACAGAAAAUCACUAACAGGCAUAUGCUGCAUGUUUUCAGUUACUUUGGUGGAUGUCUAGCAUAUUUUUAACAUCACUCAGAUACAUGAAGAAAUACAUGUCUGCCAGCAAUUUCAGUUGCUAAUAACAUGAAAUCUAAAUGGCCUAUUGUUACAGAAAUGUUGAAAACUACUUUUUUUCAACAAGUUUUUAUGCAACUCUAAUUUGGACCUCAAACUAGGAAACUGGAACUUGUCCCAAACCACAGGGGUGCCCCAAACUCGGUCCUGGAAGGUUGGCUUUCCAGAUUUUGCCAAGUGAGAGAUGUCCUUGGGAGAGAUGAUGACCCUGGGACAAUUUUUCAAUCAACCAAUCAGAUUUCAGGGAUACGGUUACAGUUCAUGUGAAUUUUGGAUGAAUCGAAUUGCAUUUUGAGUGUUGAGGGGCUACUUUCCAGGUUCAAUUCCACUUCCCUGAUAGCACACAUACAUCUGGUUUACGUCUAUUUGACGUCUGCAUUUACAUCUGCAAGACAUCUACAAUACAUCGUUUGCUCAUCUGCAAUACGUCUCGGAGAUGUCUGCUGUCAGACUUCAUAUAGACAUCUAGAAGAUGUCUGUAAGAUGUUUAUGAUUUAGAAUGGAUGUACAACAGCUCUUUCUAAGAUGUUUAGCAGAUGUUUUUAAGCAGCAGAUCUCCAGAUCUUUAGCAGACGUAUUACAGACGUUCAGACGUCUCCAAGACAUAUUGCAGAUGAGCAAACUAUGUAUUUAAGAUGUCUUGCAGAU